UCGCCUGUUUAUCAAAAACAUAGCCUAUUGUACAUAAAUACUAGGUAUAGCCUGCCCAAUGACUUUUCAAUGGCCGCGGUAUCCUGACCGUGCAAAGGUAGCAUAAUAAUUUGUCUUAUAAUUUAAGACUAGAAUGAACGGCUUGACGAAAUAGAUUCUGUCUCUUUUUUCAAAAAAAAAUAUAGCUAAAAGUAAAAACGCUUUUAUAAAAUAAAAAGACAAGAAGACCCUAUAGAGCUUUAAUUUAAUAUAAAAAAAUUUUUGCUGGGGCGGCAAGAAAAUUUUUACAUCUUUUCUUCUUUUUAGAUUAAAAAAUCCUAAAAUCCUUUUUUGAAUAAAGAAAAAGCUACCUUAGGGAUAACAGACUAAUUUUAAUUUAGAGUUCUAAUCGAAAUUAAAGAUUGGCACCUCGAUGUUGGCUUAAGGUAUUUUUUACUUGCAGAAG
rnacentral:rRNA from 2 species